rnacentral:rRNA from 1 species
AUUGAACGCUGGCGGCAUGCCUUACACAUGCAAGUCGAACGGCAGCGGGCCCUUCGGGGUGCCGGCGAGUGGCGAACGGGUGAGUAAUGCAUCGGAACGUACCCGGGAGAGGGGGAUAACCGGCCGAAAGGCUGGCUAAUACCGCAUGAACUCGGAAGAGCAAAGCGGGGGACCUUCGGGCCUCGCGCUCUCGGAGCGGCCGAUGUCCGAUUAGGCUAGUUGGUGGGGUAAAGGCCCACCAAGGCGACGAUCGGUAGCGGGUCUGAGAGGACGAUCCGCCACACUGGGACUGAGACACGGCCCAGACUCCUACGGGAGGCAGCAGUGGGGAAUCUUGGACAAUGGGCGCAAGCCUGAUCCAGCAAUGCCGCGUGGGUGAAGAAGGCCUUCGGGUUGUAAAGCCCUUUCGGCGGGGAAGAAAUCGGUCAGGCGAAUAGUCUGGCCGGAUGACGGUACCCGCAGAAGAGGCACCGGCUAACUACGUG